rnacentral:rRNA from 1 species
UGGGCAACCUGCCCUCAGCUCUGGGAUAACUCCAAGAAAUUGGGGCUAAUACCGGAUAUGACCGCUGACCGCAUGGUCUGGUGGUGGAAAGAUUUAUCGGCUGGGGAUGGGCCCGCGGCCUAUCAGCUUGUUGGUGGGGUAGUGGCCUACCAAGGCGACGACGGGUAGCCGGCCUGAGAGGGUGACCGGCCACACUGGGACUGAGACACGGCCCAGACUCCUACGGGA